GAUGAACGCUAGCUACAGGCUUAACACAUGCAAGUCGCAGGACUGGCGCACGGGUGAGUAACGCGUAUCUAACCUUCCCAUAACUACGGGAUAACCCGUUGAAAGCCGGCCUAAUACCGUAUGGUUUUGGAUGGUGAUGCGCUUGAUUAGCUUGUUGGCGGGGUAACGGCCCACCAAGGCGACGAUCAGUAGGGGUACUGAGAGGUAGGUCACACACAUUGGAACUGAGACACGGUACAAACUCCUACAGGAAGCAGCAGGGAGGAAUAUUGGUAAAUGGGCGAGAGCCUGAACCAGCCAAGUAGCGUGCAGGAUGACGGCCUAAGGGUUGUAAACUGCUUUUAUGUGGGGAUAGGUACCACAUGAAUAAGGACCGGCUAAUUCCGUGCCAGCAGCCGCGGUAAUUC
rnacentral:rRNA from 1 species